rnacentral:lncRNA from 10 species
UGGGAGGAGCAAAUGCCCUUUCUUUUUGGAGCUGAGAAAACUCAGUCUCUCAUUUAUCUAUGAAAACAAUAGCUCAGUUCCUCACGCAAAUGAGCACAGACAAGCUGAAUUGAGAUUAAUUUUGGGAGAAAAAGCAAUAGAGAAGACCCCUUAGAAUGCAUGCCUGAACUAGAAUUAAGAUCCUUAACAAGUUCCUAGGAGAGAAAAAACAACAGCAGCCGCCAAGACCAUUUCCUGUAAACUGUGCUCAGCCACCCCUACUUUGUAGCUCUUGUCCGCCAUUACACACACCAAGGUCAAAUCUUCUCACAGUACAUGGUAAUCUCUGGUACCUCCAAAGCCAAAGAGGUCAGGUCAGGCAAUACAGGAAAACAGAGCUUUCAUCCUAAGAAGAAUCUGUCCAUGACUCUUGAAACUCCACAAAGAAAACAGAACACCCCCUACAAAGAGGGAGACAUGAGACAUCAGUCAACAUGUGUCUGGAAUUGGUGGGCUCUUGGUCUCACUGACUUCAAGAAUGAAGCCACGGACCCUCGCGUUGAGUGUUACAGCUCUUAAGGUGGCGCGUCUGGAGUUUGUUCCUUCUGAAGUUCGGAUGUGUUUUCUUCCUUCUGGUGGGUUCGUGGUCUUGCUGGCUCAGGAGUGAAGCUGCAGAACUUCGCGGUGAGUGUUACAGCUCAUAAAGGCAGUGUGGGCCCAAAGAGUGAGCAGCAGAAGGAUUUAUUGCAAAGAGCGAAAGAACAAAGCUUCCACAUUGGGGAAGGGGACCCCAACGGGUUG